rnacentral:rRNA from 1 species
GCAACCUGCCUACAAGAGGGGGACGAACAGUUGGAAACGACUGCUAAUACCGCAUAAGACCACGCUAUCGCAUGGUAGAGAGGUCAAAGAUUUAUCGCUUGUAGAUGGGCUCGCGUCUGAUUAGCUAGUUGGUGAGGUAAUGGCUCACCAAGGCGACGAUCAGUAGCCGACCUGAGAGGGUGAUCGGCCACACUGGAACUGAGACACGGUCCAGACUCCUACGGGAGGCAGCAUG